rnacentral:rRNA from 1 species
UACGUAGGGUGCGAGCGUUGUCCGGAAUUAUUGGGCGUAAAGAGCUCGUAGGCGGUUUGUCGCGUCGACUGUGAAAACCUACAGCUUAACUGUGGGCUUGCAGUCGAUACGGGCAGACUUGAGUUCGGUAGGGGAGACUGGAAUCCUGGUGUAGCGGUGAAAUGCGCAGAUAUCAAGGAGGAACACCGGUGGCGAAGGCGGGUCUCUGGGCCGGUACCGACGCUGAGGAGCGAAAGCGUGGGGAGCGAACAGG